GUUUAUUUGUUUAUUUAUUUUACUCGUUGAAAUUUUGCCUAGUAACAUCACUGCGCCUUGCUUGAAAAAAUCUUUUCAUAUUACUAAUACUUAUAUAACAUUUGUGGAAAAGUCAAAUAGCCUAGCUAUUUAAUUCAGAUUUAUUUUAGUGUAGAUUUGCAUAAGUAUCAUUUUAGAUUUCUAUAAAUUUGUAUAAACCCAAUUCAACCCCCCUC
rnacentral:lncRNA from 1 species